rnacentral:rRNA from 1 species
CUACGGGUGGCAGCAGUGGGGAAUAUUGGACAAUGGGGGAAACCCUGAUCCAGCAAUGCCGCGUGUGUGAAGAAGGCCUGCGGGUUGUAAAGCACUUUCGGUUGGGAGGACUGCUUCUAGCACUAAUAUUGUUGGAAGUUGACGUUACCUUCAGAAGAAGCACCGGCUAACUCCGUGCCAGCAGCCGACGGUAAUACGGAGGGUGCAAGCGUUAAUCGGAAUUACCGGGCGUAAAGCGCGCGUAGGCGGCUAGAUCAGUCGGGUGUGAAAGCCCCGGGCUUAACCUGGGAACUGCAUCCGAUACUGUCUAGCUUGAGUACAGGAGAGGAGAGUGGAAUUCCACAUGUAGCGGUGAAAUGCGUAGAUAUGUGGAGGAGCACCAAUGGCGAAGGCAGCUCUCUGGCCUGAUACUGACGCUGAGGUGCGAAAGCGUGGGGAGCAAACAGGAUUAGAUACCCCUGUAGUC